UUACCAGGAACCCAAGUCAUAUUAGCGCUGGUCAUUUUUCUCCCUACUGUGUCAUCUGUGAAGUCCCUCUGUUUUCUGUAGGCAAUCCUGAGCUAUUCAGCCAGUUCCUUGCAAGAUCUGGGGAACAUAGUGAGACUAAAUCUAAAGCCACCACUAACAACAGAACCCAAGACAGAAAUUAAGAAGGAUAACAUUACGAAAUAAAUGUACAAGCCGGGUCUGGUAGCAAGGGCUAUUCAGCACUUGGGAGGCAAGAGGAUGAGGAGUUCAAGACCAGCCUGGGAAAACUCAGAAAAGGUUUCCUUAAAUAAAUAAACAACCAUAACAGUAGCAACAAUAAUAAAGGAGAGUGGUGAAGAUGUAGCUGGGUUGGUAGAGCACAUACUAAGGCUGAUCCCCAAAACUGUAUAAAACGGGUACCCUCUUGUAAUCCCAGCAGGCAGGAGGAUGAGAAGCUCAAGGCCAUCUUCAGCUACACAGUAAGUUCCAACCCAUCCUGGACCGUUGUUUCACGUAGUAAAACAAGGGGCUGCUGAGGUGGCUCCAGCUGUUAAGAACGCUGGCUUGGGGUUGGGGAUUUAGCUCAGUGGUAGAGCGCUUGCCUAGGAAGCGCAAGGCCCUGGGUCCUGUCCCCAGCUCCAAAAAAAAAAAAAAAAAAAAAAAAAAAAAUGCUGGCUGCUCCUCCAGAGGAUUCAAUCCCCAGGACCCACGUGGUAGCUCACAACUAGUUGUAAGUUGGUUCCAAGGGACCUGACAACCAUCUUCUGACCUCCUCGGGCACCAGGCACAGCCAAGGAACAGAGAAACACCUGUAGCUAAGGGAGAAAGAAUCAAGGAUCUCUCCUGCAUCCGGACCUGAAGAUGAAGGGUUGUAAUCCCGGCUUCUCAGGAGGACAACUCGGGAGCAGUUCCAGGACACCCUGGACAACUUGGAGACUCUCAAAACCAAAACAAAUCGAAAGGAAUGGAAACUUCAAGGAGUCACAGCGCAGUGUGUGACCUACUCAGCGUAGGCAGGUCCCAUGCCCUGGCACCCAGUAGGGCUGGAGAGAACGCUCAGUGGUUAAGAGCACUGACUGCUCUUCCAGAGGUCCUGAGUUCAAAUCCCAGCAACCACAUGGUGGCUUGCAACCAUCUGUAAUGGGAUCCGAUGUCCUCUUCUGGUGUGUCUGAAGACAGCUACAGUGUACUUAUAUAUAAUAAAUAAAUCUUUUUUUAAAAAA